ACAACCUAUCCAGACCUUGAUUCAUCAUGUCUUUCUCCUGGCAGUUUCUAGGUUAUAAAUUAGUUUGUUUCUCCUCUUGUUCAUUUUGUGUUCAGGUCCAUUGUCUGUACAUCUUUAUUCCUCCAAUAUGGCUUUUGAAAGCAGUCCUGAUAGUUUGUAUAGUAUUCCUCAUCGUAUAGCUAUCCUCAUGGGAAAUGUUUAGUGUACGCGUCAUAUUCCUGAGGCCGUAUGACCAGUCAACUAAUGUCCACAGUGGUGUCAAAAUUCUGCUCAUUACUACUUUGAACUUUUAGUUUUGUCUCUGUUAUGUACAGCUGUGGUAGCGGCAACCCCUGGCUUCUUCCGUCGUACCCUUUGUGAAGUUGCUCGGUGCCAACAGAAACGAGCCCCACGCUUGUGCUUUAGCAGACUAGAGUACUUUCAGAAAACACAGUUGUGGUGUAGCACCUCUGCUAUUCCUUGUAGCUCUCCAAGCCAGGGGACCACUUUUUGAAAGUGGGAAUUCAAAACCGCAACCAAGCAUGCUUUGAGGUUACUGCUGAUGAAGAGGUCUGGCACUAUGAAUGGCUAAAGUAGUUUAAUUUCAUGACUUAGGUUAGAAACCAGGAAAUCAAGCCGAGGUUCUUCUCACCAGUCACAUGUAUAAGUUACCAGAAAUCAUAAAAACCAUGAAUAUUAUUUGUUGGUAGACUAGAUGUGAGGUGGGCAUGGUGUUGCAUGCCUAGAGUCCUGGCACAGAGGAGGGUUACUAUAUAUGGGAGGCUAGCCUGGUCUAUUUAGGAAGACACUGUCUCAAAAAGCCAAGAAGCAACAAUACGGUGUGCUUACUCUGUAUAUAUAAAUUCCUCUUUCUUCCCUCCUGGGUUCAUGCUCUGUCCUCCUAUUUUUUAAUAUCAUUAAGUCAGCUGCCUGUAGGAUACUUUCUAAGAUUUGAUUUAUUUUUACAAGUAUGGAUGUUUUUGCCUAGAUGUUUGUGGUAACACCUCCAUGAGCAUUCAGUGGCUGUUGAGGACACUGCAUCUUCUGGGAAUGAAGUUAUAGAUGGUUACCAUCUAGGUGCUGGGAAUUGAACUUUGCUGAGCCUCCUUUCUAUGAGGAACUGAAUUCCUGUAUUUUAUGCAGAUCAAGCCCAAAGUUAUGAAGAAUGAAUGACAGAUCCUUCCUGCUCACUGUUGAGCCAGUUGCCUUAUUGCUUUAACCCAUUCUGAUUUCCUUUAUUCCUAGCUUCUCUGGCCACUUUGUGCAUUUGUGCAAAUUAGCAUGCUUUUCUGGAGUCUUUAUUACAGUUAACUAACUGUAAUAAUUAGAGAGAAGUCUAAUUUUUGCUUAUCAUGCCCUCCGCCAUCUCUCCCACACAGACACUGUGCUGUCUGGAGAGUUUAUAAAAUACAUUACAAUGGAAAUCAACUGUUACUGUCAACCAGAAGCCUGAUAAAACCCACAUCUUAGGCUGGAGCUGUGGCUCAGUGGGUGAAGUGCUUCCCAUGAAAGCAUGAAGGCUUGAAAUCAAAUCGCUCCCUCCCUCCCUCCCUCGUAAAAGGACAGGUGUAAUAGCAUGCACCUGUAUCCUUGGUGCUGGGCGAGGGAACACAGACGUGCAAAUAGCCAAAUAGGAAGUUCAGGGUUCAGCUGGGGAAGAGAGAGAGAGAGAGAGAGAGAGAGAGAGAGAGAGAGAGAAUGGGAGAAUUGGAGAAUGAGCGAGGGAGUGGGAGAGGGAGGGAGAGAGAGAGGCAUUCUGAUGUCAGCUCCUGGUUUACCCAUGUACAUGUUUAGACAUUUGCACACAUGUGUACACGCCCAUAUAUCAUGCACACAUCAGAAUUUUUAAAAGUCACAUUUUAUGUACAAUUAAUUAAGCUCCUACAAAACCCAUGGAGGUGAUUCUUCUGUUGAUAGCC
rnacentral:lncRNA from 1 species